rnacentral:tRNA from 1 species
GGUGGCUCAGUGGAUAGAGCACCAGCCUGUGGACUGAAGGGUCCCGGGUUCGAUUCCCGGCC